AGGACGAACGCUGGCGGCGUGCUUAACACAUGCAAGUCGAGCGGAAAGGCCCUUCGGGGUACUCGAGCGGCGAACGGGUGAGUAACACGUGAGCAACCUGCCCUUAGCUUCGGGAUAGCUCCGGGAAACCGGAAUUAAUACCGAAUAUGACUUUGGCUGACAUCAGCAGAAGUGGAAAGUUUUUCGGCUAGGGAUGGACUCGCGGCCUAUCAGCUAGUUGGUGAGGUAACGGCCCACCAAGGCGACGACGGGUAGCCGGCCUGAGAGGGCGACCGGCCACACUGGGACUGAGACACGGCCCAGACUCCUACGGGAGGCAGCAGUGGGGAAUAUUGCGCAAUGGGCGAAAGCCUGACGCAGCGACGCCGCGUGGGGGAUGAAUGCCUUCGGGUUGUAAACCCCUUUCAGCAGGGACGAAGCGAAAGUGACGGUACCUGCAGAGAAGCGCCGGCUAACUACGUGCCAGCAGCCGC
rnacentral:rRNA from 1 species